rnacentral:rRNA from 1 species
AGCAGUAGCCGCGGUAAUACGGAGGGUGCAAGCGUUAAUCGGAAUUACUGGGCGUAAGGCGUGCGUAGGCGGUUCGUUAAGUCUGUUGUGAAAGCCCCGGGCUCAACCUGGGAAUGGCGAUGGAUACUGGCGAGCUAGAGUGUGUCAGAGGAUGGUGGAAUUUCCGGUGUAGCGGUGAAAUGCGUAGAUAUCGGAAGGAACACCUGUGGCGAAAGCGGCUCACUGGACCAUUUCUGACGCUGAUGCACGAAAGCUAGGGGAGCAAACAGGAUUAGAUACCCGGGUAGUCCCUGUCUCUUAUAC